rnacentral:lncRNA from 1 species
AUGGUGAAAAUGGGGAAGAUUUGUGUUAAGGGGAAAAGGGUGAUAAAGGAAAUUAUAGUUUUACCCCUUCUAAGGCUACCUUCAGCUUUGCUCUGCCGGGUUCUGAGAAGGAUCUAUUUGAAGAGAUUAUGGUGCUGCUGUAGGAUUCUGCAGCUCUUUCCCAGUUCAUUUCUCUCUAAGGUGACACACCUUCUCUCACAGAAGGCAUCCAGUAUUCCAGUUAGUGUUGAUCUCAAUUGCUGAUCUCAAAAGAAAAAAUUUCUGAAUAGCAUACGAUGAAAUCGGAGAAAGACCAAUGGACUAAGGAUCAGGAGACCUAAGAUCUAUCUAUCACUGACUCUGCCACUAAUCAGCUGUGUGAUGUUAGAAGUCACUUCAAUUCUCUAAGCCUGUUUUCUCAUUUGUCAAAUAAAAGAAUUGGACUAGAUAAUCUCUAAGGUAC